AGAGCUUGAGCUUCCUUCCGGAUGCGGCCGGCUCCCUCCCGGGUCGCCCACCUCACUUCCUCCCAUUCCAUCCAUCUCCUCUGCCCUUCGGGCUCCCUCGUCUUUAGGAGGGUUCUAGAACUCACAGCUCUGGCUCUCAGAGGUCAAAGAUGGCCUCAAGAAAGCACAGUGGUGAGAAGUCAGGCUACGAGUGAGUUAAAUGUGACACACUUGUUUUGAUAACCGCAUGAAGACUGCUAUACUACGUCCUCAGGAUCAUCAAUAGGAACAAGAUGCCUUUAGUUUCAAGAAUCUACAGCUCACGUGGAAGAGACUGAGGCAGGAGGACUGCCAUGAGUUGUAGGGUUGCUUGAGCUACAUAACAAGGAACAAAACAGCCAGUACUACAUAUCAAACCCUCACACACACACACACACACGGGAUGGAGACAUUACCUCAGUUGGUGGAAAGCUUGCCUCAGAUGUCCGGGUUUAACAACCAGCACUGCAUACUCUGGGCAUGGCAAUACAUGCCUGUAAUCCUAGCAUACGAGUGGUAUUUGAGGUAACAGGACCAGGAGCUGAAGCCAGACUUGGCUAUCUAUGUAAGACCCAAUCUCAAAUAUACAACAAACCAAUAAAAAUAAUUUUUUUUAAUUAAGAGGACGUAGACAAGUCAGGCAAACAAAGAGUUGAUGAUGGCAUCACACCAGCAAUUUCACAUCAUUUCUGGUUGACUCUAAGACAGCAGGUGGAUAGAACUACCACUUACAAGCUAAGCACGGUCUUCAACAAGUUUAUUUUUAUUUUAUUUGUGAUGACAUCACACUAUGUAGCCCUGGCUGACAUAGAAAUCACCAAGAUCCACCUGCCUUUCACUCCAGAGUGCUGGGAUUAAAGAUUUAGCGUGCCACUAAACCUGACUAAAUCUUCAAGAACAAAACUUGGCACAGUGGCUCAGGACUGAAAUUCCAGCACUCAGGAAGCUCAAGCAAGAAGACUGCCGUUCUUCUGGAGUUCAAGUCCAGCUUGACUUAAAGAGAACUCAUCUAGAACACAGCAGGGCGGGGGAAGACUGUGCUCAUGUUACAGAACAGUGUCUUUUAUCUUGAGACAGGAUCUUAUGUGGCCCAGGCUGGCUUCAAUCUUGUUAUGCGCUGAGGAUGACCUAGAGCAAGCCUCUAAGUCAGUCUCUGGCUAAGCCUGUAAAGCAGCGGUUCUCAAUCUGUGGGUCCUGGUCCCCCUUUUUGGGGGGUGGUCUAAUGACCCUUUCACAGGGGUCACCCAAUGGAAAGCAUUAUGAUUCAUAAUGGUAGCAAAAUUACAGCUAUGAAGCGGUAACAACAAUAGUUUAUGGCAGGGGUCACUACAACAGGAGGAACUGUGUUCGCGGGUCACAGCACUGGAAGGCUGAGAACCCCUGCUGUAAAGGAUGUCCUCCAUUACACUAAGAUGGGAAGACCUAUUCUCCUAAAGCAGACAAUACCGUUCCCCAGGCUGGCUGAGCACCACGCUUCACUGUUCUCUGCAUCCUAACUCUGGACAAGCUCCACCCCCAGGGCUUCCUUACCACGAUGGACUGCACUCUUGGACUGUGGCCCUGAAUAAACCAUUUCCCCCAUGA